rnacentral:lncRNA from 1 species
CUUGUACUCUGCAGAAGGUAACAGAGACCAUUUUGUUGUUAAUAUAUGUCUGAGCAAUCCUUCUUUCGACAAAAUAUACAACUCUCAGUAAAUUUCCUCUAAUUUCAGACUGUGCACUUCAAAAUAAUACCAUAAAGGCUCAUCAUUUCAAUCCAUUAUUGAUUACACCUUGGGGACUUUCCACCGAUUCCACUUGAUGCUACUUUUAAAAUGAAAUAACAGAAAAUUCCAAGAAAUGGAAGCCGCUCAUAGUAAAAGAAGAAAAGCUGAGUAUCAUCAGGGUUAAUAGCUCCUAUUUGAGAUCCAUGAAUGAUUACAGAGGUUUUUUCCUAAAUCGAACUUUCAAGAUUCAUUAAUAAUAUGCUGCCUCUCUGGGACAUAGGUGCGCUCAUGGUACGAAGGCUAUUUAUUCAUCGCAUGGA